rnacentral:rRNA from 1 species
GGACUACCAGGGUUUCUAAUCCCGUUCGCUCCCCUGGCUUUCGCACAUGAGCGUCAGUUACGAGCCAGGACGCUGCCUUCGCCUUUGGUGUUCUUCCAGAUCUCUACGCAUUUCACCGCUCCACCUGGAAUUCCGCGUCCCUCUCUCGUCCUCAAGUCUUCCAGUUUUCCAAGGCCUGCAAGGGUUAAGCCCUCACCUGUCACUCAAAACUUAAAAGACCGCCUGCGUGCGCUUUACGCCCAAUAAAUCCGGACAACGCUUGCCCCCUACGUAUUACCGCGGCUGCUGGCAC